rnacentral:pre_miRNA from 1 species
GGUUGUCUCUUGGAGUUCCUCUGAACACUUCACACGUGGGACUAGAGUAGUGGUAUUGUAUCCUUUAGAUCAUAGAAUAGUCCUCAUCAUCACCAAGUGAAGUGUUUGGGGGAACUUUUAGGUACAAC